rnacentral:rRNA from 1 species
AAGACCUUGCGCUUUUGGAGCGGCCGAUGCCUGAUUAGCUUGUUGGUAAGGUAAAAGCUUACCAAGGCUUCGAUCAGUAGCUGGUCUGAGAGGACGACCAGCCACACUGGGACUGAGACACGGCCCAGACUCCUACGGGAGGCAGCAGUGGGGAAUUUUGGACAAUGGGGGCAACCCUGAUCCAGCCAUGCCGCGUGAGUGAAGAAGGCCUUCGGGUUGUAAAGCUCUUUCAGCCGGGAAGAAAAGGUUGCGAUUAAUAAUCGCAAUUUAUGACGGUACCGGAAGAAGAAGCACCGGCUAACUACGUGCCAGCAGCCGCGGUAAUACGUAGGGUGCGAGCGUUAAUCGGAAUUACUGGGCGUAAAGGGUGCGCAGGCGGUUUUGUAAGUCAGAUGUGAAAUCCCCGGGCUUAACCUGGGAACU